GUGGGGAAUUUUGGACAAUGGGCGCAAGCCUGAUCCAGCAAUGCCGCGUGUGUGAAGAAGGCCUUCGGGUUGUAAAGCACUUUUGUCCGGAAAGAAAUGGCCUGGGUUAAUACCCCGGGUCGAUGACAGUACCGGAAGAAUAAGCACCGGCUAACUACGUGCCAGCAGCCGCGGUAAUACGUAGGGUGCGAGCGUUAAUCGGAAUUACUGGGCGUAAAGCGUGCGCAGGCGGCGAUGCAAGACAGAUGUGAAAUCCCCGGGCUCAACCUGGGAACUGCAUUUGUGACUGCAUGGCUAGAGUGCGUCAGAGGGGGGUGGAAUUCCGCGUGUAGCAGUGAAAUGCGUAGAGAUGCGGAGGAACACCGAUGGCGAAGGCAGCCCCCUGGGAUGACACUGACGCUCAUGCACGAAAGCGUGGGGAGCAAACAGGAUUAGAAACCCCGGUAGUCC
rnacentral:rRNA from 1 species